rnacentral:lncRNA from 1 species
UCACCCAGGGGAGGUGGAGCCCCCAGACGCUGUGAUAUGAAAUUCCAGAUCAUGGGAGGGAGAGUUUGAAGAAGGAAGAACCACCAAUAGAAAGCGGUCCCCAAAGAGGUAUCGGGGAUGGCACCCAGACAGGAGCACAUGUACCACUGCCCAGAAUGUGCAUUUCACUAGACAAGUGACCACAAAAGUUUUCACUGUGACUUGAAAAUGCCCACUCCUCCCAGAAGUUCAAGGAACUGGACCCCCGGACAUGAGCCCAAGGUUCGCCGGCUUCAAAGAUCCUGGCCACACACCAGUGAGCCUGGCAGAGGCAGGCUUCUGGUCCUCUUUCCCAGUGAUUUCCUGCUGGCCUGACACCAAACUCCACUUUCCCUGAAUGACUCUAAUAAAAGUUUAUCAAAACUC